rnacentral:rRNA from 1 species
AUGAACGCUAGCGACAGGCUUAACACAUGCAAGUCGAGGGGCAGCGGGGGUAGCAAUACCCGCCGGCGACCGGCGCACGGGUGAGUAACGCGUAUGCAACUUACCUAUCAGAGGGGGAUAACCCGGCGAAAGUCGGACUAAUACCGCAUGAAGCAGGGAUCCCGCAUGGGAGUAUUUGCUAAAGAUUCAUCGCUGAUAGAUAGGCAUGCGUUCCAUUAGGCAGUUGGCGGGGUAACGGCCCACCAAACCGACGAUGGAUAGGGGUUCUGAGAGGAAGGUCCCCCACAUUGGUACUGAGACACGGACCAAACUCCUACGGGAGGCAGCAGUGAGGAAUAUUGGUCAAUGGCCGAGAGGCUGAACCAGCCAAGUCGCGUGAGGGAUGAAGGUUCUAUGGAUCGUAAACCUCUUUUAUAAGGGAAUAAAGUGCGGGACGUGUCCCGUUUUGUAUGUACCUUAUGAAUAAGGAUCGGCUAACUCCGUGCCAGCAGCCGCGGUAAUACGGAGGAUCCGAGCGUUAUCCGGAUUUAUUGGGUUUAAAGGGUGCGUAGGCGGCCUUUUAAGUCAGCGGUGAAAGUCUGUGGCUCAACCAUAGAAUUGCCGUUGAAACUGGGGGGCUUGAGUAUGUUUGAGGCAGGCGGAAUGCGUGGUGUAGCGGUGAAAUGCAUAGAUAUCACGCAGAACCCCGAUUGCGAAGGCAGCCUGCCAAGCCAUGACUGACGCUGAUGCACGAAAGCGUGGGGAUCAAACAGGAUUAGAUACCCUGGUAGUCCACGCAGUAAACGAUGAUCACUAGCUGUUUGCGAUACACUGUAAGCGGCACAGCGAAAGCGUUAAGUGAUCCACCUGGGGAGUACGCCGGCAACGGUGAAACUCAAAGGAAUUGACGGGGGCCCGCACAAGCGGAGGAACAUGUGGUUUAAUUCGAUGAUACGCGAGGAACCUUACCCGGGUUUGAACGCAUUCGGACCGAGGUGGAAACACCUUUUCUAGCAAUAGCCGUUUGCGAGGUGCUGCAUGGUUGUCGUCAGCUCGUGCCGUGAGGUGUCGGCUUAAGUGCCAUAACGAGCGCAACCCUUGCCACUAGUUACUAACAGGUAAAGCUGAGGACUCUGGUGGGACUGCCAGCGUAAGCUGCGAGGAAGGCGGGGAUGACGUCAAAUCAGCACGGCCCUUACAUCCGGGGCGACACACGUGUUACAAUGGCGUGGACAAAGGGAAGCCACCUGGCGACAGGGAGCGAAUCCCCAAACCACGUCUCAGUUCGGAUCGGAGUCUGCAACCCGACUCCGUGAAGCUGGAUUCGCUAGUAAUCGCGCAUCAGCCAUGGCGCGGUGAAUACGUUCCCGGGCCUUGUACACACCGCCCGUCAAGCCAUGGGAGCCGGGGGUACCUGAAGUCCGUAACCGCGAGGAUCGGCCUAGGGUAAAACUGGUGACUGGGGCU